rnacentral:rRNA from 1 species
AUUGAACGCUGGCGGCAUGCCUUACACAUGCAAGUCGAACGGCAGCACGGGAGCAAUCCUGGUGGCGAGUGGCGAACGGGUGAGUAAUACAUCGGAACGUGCCCAGUUGUGGGGGAUAGCCCGGCGAAAGCCGGAUUAAUACCGCAUACGACCUACGGGUGAAAGCGGGGGAUCGCAAGACCUCGCGCUAUUGGAGCGGCCGAUGUCGGAUUAGCUAGUUGGUGGGGUAAAAGCCUACCAAGGCUACGAUCCGUAGCUGGUCUGAGAGGACGACCAGCCACACUGGGACUGAGACACGGCCCAGACUCCUACGGGAGGCAGCAGUGGGGAAUUUUGGACAAUGGGCGCAAGCCUGAUCCAGCCAUGCCGCGUGCGGGAAGAAGGCCUUCGGGUUGUAAACCGCUUUUGUCAGGGAAGAAACGGUUUGGGCUAAUACCCCGAACUAAUGACGGUACCUGAAGAAUAAGCACCGGCUAACUACGUGC